UACGUAGGGUGCAAGCGUUAAUCGGAAUUAUUGGGCGUAAAGCGUGCGCAGGCGGUUUUGUAAGACAGGCGUGAAAUCCCCGGGCUCAACCUGGGAACUGCAUUUGUGACUGCAAGGCUAGAGUACGGCAGAGGGGGAUGGAAUUCCGCGUGUAGCAGUGAAAUGCGUAGAUAUGCGGAGGAACACCAAUGGCGAAGGCAAUCCCCUGGGCCUGUACUGACGCUCAUGCACGAAAGCGUGGGGAGCAAACAGG
rnacentral:rRNA from 1 species